GAGUACGACCGCAAGGUUGAAACUCAAAGGAAUUGACGGGGGCCCGCACAAGCGGUGGAGCAUGUGGUUUAAUUCGAAGCAACGCGAAGAACCUUACCAGGUCUUGACAUCCUUUGACCACUCUGGAGACAGAGCUUUCCCUUCGGGGACAAAGUGACAGGUGGUGCAUGGUUGUCGUCAGCUCGUGUCGUGAGAUGUUGGGUUAAGUCCCGCAACGAGCGCAACCCUUGAUUUUAGUUGCCAGCAUUUAGUUGGGCACUCUAAAGUGACUGCCGGUGCAAGCCGGAGGAAGGUGGGGAUGACGUCAAAUCAUCAUGCCCCUUAUGACCUGGGCUACACACGUGCUACAAUGGAUAGUACAAAGGGUCGCGAAGCCGCGAGGUGGAGCUAAUCCCAUAAAACUAUUCUCAGUUCGGAUUGUAGGCUGCAACUCGCCUACAUGAAGCCGGAAUCGCUAGUAAUCGUGGAUCAGCAUGCCACGGUGAAUACGUUCCCGGGCCUUGUACACACCGCCCGUCACACCACGAGAGUUUGUAACACCCGAAGUCGGUAGGGUAACCUUUAUGGAGCCAGCCGCCGAAGGUGGGACAGAUAAUUGGGGUGAAGUCGUAACAAGGUAGCCGUAUCGGAAGGUGCGGCUGGAUCACCUCCUUU
rnacentral:rRNA from 1 species